rnacentral:rRNA from 1 species
ACUCCGGUUGAUCCUGCCGGACCCGACCGCUAUCGGGGUAGGGCUAAGCCAUGGGAGUCGAACGCCCCGCCGCUGCGGGGCGUGGCGGACGGCUGAGUAACACGUGGCUAACCUACCCUCGGGACGGGGAUAACCCCUCGGGAAACUGGGGCUAAUCCCCGAUAGGCGGGGGGUGCCUGGAAGGGUCCUCCGCCGAAAGGGGCCGCGGGGGGUUAUCGCCCGCGGUCCGCCCGAGGAUGGGGCUGCGGCCCAUCACGGUAGUUGGCGGGGUAAUGGCCCGCCAAGCCUACGACGGGUAGGGGCCGUGAGAGCGGGAGCCCCCAGAUGGGCACUGAGACAAGGGCCCAGGCCCUACGGGGCGCACCAGGCGCGAAAACUCCGCAAUGCGGGCAACCGUGACGGGGCUACCCCGAGUGCCCCCCUUGGGGGGGCUUUUCCCCGCUGUAAGUAGGCGGGGGAAUAAGCGGGGGGCAAGACUGGUGUCAGCCGCCGCGGUAAUACCAGCCCCGCGAGCGGUCGGGGUGCUUACUGGGCCAAAAGCGCCCGUACCCGGCUCGACAAGUCCCCGCCUAAAGCCCCGGGCUCAACCCGGGGAGUGGCGGGGAUACUGUCCGGCUAGGGGGCGGGAGAGGCCGACGGUACUCCCGGGGUACGGGCGAAAUCUAUUAAUCCCGGGAGGACCACCAGUGGCGAAGGCGCUCGGCUGGAACGCGCCCGACGGUGAGGGGCGAAAGCCGGGGGAGCGAACCGGAUUAGAUACCCGGGUAGUCCCGGCUGUAAACGAUGCGGGCUAGGUGUUGGGCGGGCGUGCGAGCCCGCCCAGUGCCGCAGGGAAGCCGUUAAGCCCGCCGCCUGGGGAGUACAGCCGCAAGGCUGAAACUUAAAGGAAUUGGCGGGGGAGCACCACAAGGGGUGGAGCCUGCGGCUUAAUUGGAGUCAACGCCGGGAACCUCCACCGGGGGCGACAGCAGGAUGACGGCCAGGCUGAAGGCCUUGCCCGACGCGCUGAGGGGAGGUGCAUGGCCGUCGCCAGCUCGUGCCGUGAGGUGUCCUGUUAAGUCAGGCAACGAGCGAGACCCCCGCCCCUAGUUGCCAUCCCCGGGGCGACCCGGGGGGCACACUAGGGGGACUGCCGCCGCUAAGGCGGAGGAAGGAGGGGGCAACGGCAGGUCAGCAUGCCCCUAAACCCCCGGGCUGCACGCGGGCUACAAUGGCGGGGACAGCGGGUGCCGACCCCGAAAGGGGGAGGCAAUCCCUCAAACCCCGCCUCAGUUGGGAUCGAGGGCUGCAACUCGCCCUCGUGAACGUGGAAUCCCUAGUAACCGCGCGUCAUCAUCGCGCGGUGAAUACGUCCCUGCUCCUUGCACACACUGCCCGUCGCUCCACCCGAGGGGGGAGGGGGUGAGGCCCUCUCCGCCGGGAGGGGGUCGAACCCCCUCCCCCCGAGGGGGGAGAAGUCGUAACAAGGUAGCCGUAGGGGAACCUGCGGCUGGAUCACCU